rnacentral:rRNA from 1 species
AUUGAACGCUGGCGGAAUGCUUUACACAUGCAAGUCGAACGGCAGCACGGACUUCGGUCUGGUGGCGAGUGGCGAACGGGUGAGUAAUACAUCGGAACGUGCCCAAUCGUGGGGGAUAACGUAGCGAAAGCUACGCUAAUACCGCAUACGAUCUAAGGAUGAAAGCGGGGGAUCGCAAGACCUCGCACGAAUGGAGCGGCCGAUGGUAGAUUAGGUAGUUGGUAGGGUAAAGGCCUACCAAGCCGACGAUCUGUAGCUGGUCUGAGAGGAUGAUAAGCCACACUGGGACUGAGACACGGCCCAGACUCCUACGGGAGGCAGCAGUGGGGAAUUUUGGACAAUGGACGCAAGUCUGAUCCAGCCAUUCCGCGUGCAGGAUGAAGGCCCUCGGGUUGUAAACUGCUUUUGUACAGAACGAAAAGGCUCUGGUUAAUACCUAGGGCUCAUGACGGUACUGUAAGAAUAAGCACCGGCUAACUACGUGCCAGCAGCCGCCGUAA